rnacentral:tRNA from 1 species
GCGCACGUGGCGGAAUUGGUAGACGCGCCAGCUUGAGGGGCUGGUGACCGCAAGGUCGUGGAGGUUCGACUCCUCUCGUGCGCA